rnacentral:rRNA from 1 species
CCUACGGGAGGCAGCAGUGGGGAAUUUUGCGCAAUGCUCGUAAGAGUGACGCAGCGACGCCGCGUGAAUGACGAAGGCCUUCGGGUCGUAAAGCUCUUUCGACAGGGAAGAAAAUGCCGAUAAGUAACUGUGUAUGUAUUGCCGGUACCUGUAUAAGAAGCCCCGGCUAACUCCGUGCCAGCAGCCGCGGCAAUACGGAGGGGGGGAGAGUUGUUCGGGUGGACUGGGCGUAAAGAGCACGUAGGCGGUGAUGUAAGUCAUGAGUCAAAGACUAGAGCUCAACUUUAGGAAUGCUAGUGAUACUAGAAGGCUGGAGUAUAAGAGAGGAAUGCAGAAUUCCUAGUGUAGCGGUGAAAUGCGUAGAUAUCAGGAGGAAUACCGUUAGCGAAGGCGGCAAUCUGGCUGGAAACUGACGCUGAGGUGCGAAGGCGUGGGUAGCAAACAGGAUUAGAUACCCGAGUAGUC